UACGGAGGGGGCUAGCGUUGUUCGGAAUUACUGGGCGUAAAGCGCACGUAGGCGGCUUUGUAAGUUAGAAGUGAAAGCCCGGGGCUCAACUCCGGAAUUGCCUUUAAGACUGCAUCGCUAGAAUUGUGGAGAGGUGAGUGGAAUUCCGAGUGUAGAGGUGAAAUUCGUAGAUAUUCGGAAGAACACCAGUGGCGAAGGCGACUUACUGGACACAUAUUGACGCUGAGGUGCGAAAGCGUGGGGAGCAAACAGG
rnacentral:rRNA from 1 species